rnacentral:rRNA from 1 species
CCUACGGGGGGCAGCAGUGGGGAAUAUUGGACAAUGGGGGGAACCCUGAUCCAGCCAUGCCGCGUGUGUGAAGAAGGCCCUCGGGUUGUAAAGCACUUUCAGUGAGGAAGAACGCCUGGUGGUUAAUACCCAUCAGGAAAGACAUCACUCACAGAAGAAGCACCGGCUAACUCCGUGCCAGCAGCCGCGGUAAUACGGAGGGUGCGAGCGUUAAUCGGAAUUACUGGGCGUAAAGCGCGCGUAGGUGGCUUGAUAAGCCGGUUGUGAAAGCCCCGGGCUCAACCUGGGAACGGCAUCCGGAGCUGUCCAGCUAGAGUGCAGGAGAGGAAGGUAGAAUUCCCGGUGUAGCGGUGAAAUGCGUAGAGAUCGGGAGGAAUACCAGUGGCGAAGGCGGCCUUCUGGACUGACACUGACACUGAGGUGCGAAAGCGUGGGUAGCAAACAGGAUUAGAUACCCGUGUAGUC